AAAAGAGCAGCACAAAUCUGAUAGAGAGUACGUUAUUGUUUGGGGUUUCAAUCAGAGAUAGAUAAUCCUACUCACUACGACAGAUUGAAUUGAGGAUUCGAGUGUACCUCUUUCGGCCGAAAAGCUUGAGAGAAAGAAGGUUUGUAGUACCUAGAUAUUGGAUUAUUUGCUCAAGUUUAUUAUAUAGUAGGAUAAUUAUGGUAAAUCUAAUACUGUUUAUUUGAUUGUAUUUUUUUAUUACCAUAUAAAUUUUACGAAUGCAUUACAAAUUAAACUUUAUUGGAAACUGACUUCCUAUCUAAUACUUAUUAUAGCACGAGAAUAAAUUUCUUAUAUUGUAUAAAGGUUUAAUUUAUCUCUUUCAACCAAAAAAAAAAUCUAUUAUGUUAUCUAAUCCCCUACUCACUACGAAAGAGAAUUGAUACAAGAAAUUGCUACACCAUUUGUAACUAGGUGGUUGGUUUUAAUUUAAUUAUCUCUUUAAUAGUUUUUUUUUUUUUUACGUAUGUAAAUAUCUAACUUCUCCCCUAAAAACAAGGUGGUAUAGUAAUUUUUAAUAUUCAUGGUUUUUUUUUCUACGUACGUAAAUAUUAAACUUCUCCCGUACAAAUAAGGUGGCUUAAUUUAUCUUUUUUUAAUAUAUAUAUAUAAUUUCCUCAUUUUUGCCGCCUAAAGUCAAAUGUAUUAAUUUUUCCUCAGAUUAUGUGAAACUAAUCAUGGCAAGCAAGACAUUUAAUUUACUACUCUGAAGUUUACUAAUUUUGCAGAAACACACUCUACAAAAUCAAACAAUACAGACAAUUAUAUGAACAACCUUCUUAUACAAGUCUACAACAACAUUUAUCCUUAAUUGAGGAUUAGCAAUAAUUCCCUCAAAAAAAAAAAACACAAAAAAAAAAA